ensembl:lncRNA
AAUCUUUUUUUAGAGUUCCCUCCUUGGUGAUGCUUUCUCCUGUGAACCUGGGCUCUUCUGGUACAGGUAAAAGGCGGGAGCCUCAGCAGGAGAUGGAAGGAAUGUGAAAACUGGAAUUCCCCUCCAGAAAAGGGAGGAAGCCACGCUCAGGAGGAUUCUUGGGCUUAUCACUGAUUAUGCUAACAACAAAACUAAACCCAGAAAAAUGGGUACUUGUGGACAGUAGGUGUGUGUUUGUUUGGUUUAGAGUUGGAGAUAUCUUAAUGUCUUAUUUAUAGCUUACCUUCAUCUUGAUGUGAGUAUUGUAUUAAAAAAAAGCAAGAUCAGAGGAGAGAUGUGGACAGCAGUGAAUUUGGAUUUCAGGAGAACUAGCAUCUGUGGCCUGUGUAUAUACUAAAUCUGACAUUCUGCCAUCACUAUGAGAGGGAUAUCAGCAAGAGAGAAAGGCUGGAGUGGGGAAAUAAAUGUGCAUAACCUCACACUGCCAGUCCUCUCAUGCAACUGGAUGCAUUAAGUUUCCUUGUGAAUGGAAUGAAAAUGGCGACUCGCAUAAUGCACUAAGGAUCUCAAGCUCACAUCAUUGGCAGAUGUUAACUGGGCAGAGGCACAAGGUAAUGGUCUUUAUCCUGUAUCAGUGAACUCAGUAGGAGUAUUUAAAUUUAGUUUGAUGAAUACUGAUUUCUAGAGGGAGGGCUGCCAGGAUCCUACUAGCCAAAAUCUGUUCUGACUUCCAUUGCUACAUAUGCAGAGGUACUGGAGAAGAACAAAGGAGUCCACUCCUGCUCCAGUUGUAGACAUUUAAGGAUUGUCACUGAACCUAUAUUACAGGAAAAAGGAGGAAAAUAGUGUUGUUUGCCACUUCAAACAUGUUCCACAAAAAUCAUUCUGACGAGGCAGGUUAUAAUUUUAUUUUCAAUUGUAGUGACAUGAAUCUUUUAAGCUUCAGUUCUUUAAGUAUUUAUAGCUUCAGAGCUUUCCAUUCUGUAUAGAUAUGCUCACCUUUGUACAAGAUGAAAAUUAAAUGAGUUGUUUAUGUCACUAAAACCUGAACAUGUUGUCCCUGACAGGUGAAAAAAUGUUCUCUCUUACAUAUUGGCAAACUGUACGCUCACUGCCUUUUUGGUGUAAAUUAUCUGUGGUUUACUUUUUUUUUUAGUGGGUCGUCUUGAUAUUCCUGGCUAACAUCUUUGCAGCUUUAUUAGUACAUACACAACUCAAUAUUGCCUUGCACAAAGUGUUUUCUAUGGCUUGUAUACAAGAUUUUGUUUUUCUUAAUAUACUACAAACAUUGGCAAUCGAUGUGAUAUGUAUCAGAUCUUUACAUUUGAACUGUAAUUAGAUUACAGAAGGAAAUAUUUGUACUGGUUGCUGUUGUCCUGUUUUGAAAUUCAAGGAAUAUUGUUUUAAACACUGCUACAUUUAUUUUAAGAACUUCUAAAGUUUGACUUAUCCAUACAAAAUCUUUUAAGAUCUGUUGAACAGUGUUAUUCUGAGAAUUAUCCGUUUAUGCCUGGGGGAGUUCUUGCCUGUGAUGGAAAUGUUUAUGAAAAGUAUCUGUGAAUGGAAAAUCACUGUUGAAUCCUAAGGCCAAGCAGUGAAGAUUGCCAUAUUAGUUCAAGUUCAUAACCAUCAGAAACAAGGAACUUAGCCUUGCAUUUUUCUUGAUAAAUAUAUAUAUACAUAUAUGAGUUACAGACCAAUGAAAUUAAAGAUAAUUGUUUCAUAAAUACACUGGCUGUGUUUUUACCACAAAUCUUAACCAUACCAUUUGAUAACUUGGAAAGCUAAGGACGUUAGUGCCAAAAUAUAUAAUCACUACUAAUGAUGGCCAUUUACCUUGUUUAUUUGUGAUAGGAAGCUGCAUCAUUCUCUGCACCUUUGAUAGUCUCUGCCUAGCAACACUGGCUCUAUUUGCUCUCUUCUGUUUUCUGAAAGCAGUUCACUUUUCCCUAGUCCAAGCAGUCUGCUUUCAAACACCUUUCUCUGCCUAAGCCAGUGCAGCAGUGCUUUACAGUGCAGACAUCGCGUUACCAGAAGAAGAGAAUUUUUAGAUCCUCAUCAGCAUCUCCCUGUUCGUUCUGCCAUGUCCUGCUUCAUUAUGCUUUAAUUUGAACAUUUGUAAUGAUUUCAUAUAAUCAUCAGAUGUUUGAAUAGGAAAACUGUUCUCUAAUCCUUCUUCAAUUUUCUGCUCAUAUGAAUCUGAAGAAAUUAUUUCAGUGUUUAAACUAU